UAAGGAAUAUUGGACAAUGGAGGCAACUCUGAUCCAGCCAUGCCGCGUGAAGGAAUAAGGCCCUAUGGGUUGUAAACUUCUUUUAGACGGGACAAAACCCCUUUACGUGUAAAGGGUUGAUGGUACUGUCAGAAUAAGCAUCGGCUAACUUCGUGCCAGCAGCCGCGGUAAUACGAAGGAUGCAAGCGUUAUCCGGAAUUAUUGGGUUUAAAGGGUGCGUAGGCGGACUAAUAAGUCAGUGGUGGAAGCCUGCAGCUUAACUGCAGAAUUGCCAUUGAUACUGUUAGUCUUGAGUACAGUUGAGGUAGGCGGAAUGUGUCAUGUAGCGGUGAAAUGCUUAGAUAUGACACAGAACACCGAUUGCGAAGGCAGCUUGCUAAGCUGUAACUGACGCUGAGGCACGAAAGCGUGGGGAGCAAACA
rnacentral:rRNA from 1 species